rnacentral:rRNA from 1 species
AUUGAACGCUGGCGGCAUGCCUUACACAUGCAAGUCGAACGGUAACAGGUCUUCGGAUGCUGACGAGUGGCGAACGGGUGAGUAAUACAUCGGAACGUGCCUAGUAGCGGGGGAUAACUACUCGAAAGAGUGGCUAAUACCGCAUGAGAUCUACGGAUGAAAGCAGGGGAUCGCAAGACCUUGUGCUACUAGAGCGGCCGAUGGCAGAUUAGGUAGUUGGUGGGAUAAAAGCUUACCAAGCCGACGAUCUGUAGCUGGUCUGAGAGGACGAUCAGCCACACUGGGACUGAGACACGGCCCAGACUCCUACGGGAGGCAGCAGUGGGGAAUUUUGGACAAUGGGCGAAAGCCUGAUCCAGCAAUGCCGCGUGCAGGAUGGAGGCCUUCGGGUUGUAAACUGCUUUUGUACGGAACGAAAAGCCCCGGGUUAAUACCCUGGGGUCAUGACGGUACCGUAAGAAUAAGCACCGGCUAACUACGUGCCAGCAGCCGCAGUAA